GACGUAGGGGGCGAGCGUUGUCCGGAAUCACUGGGCGUAAAGCGCGCGCAGGCGGCUAUCUACGUCUGGGGUGAAAGCCCGGAGCUCAACUCCGGGACUGCCUUGGAUACGGGAUCGCUUGAGGAUUGGAGAGGCAAGGGGAAUUCCACGUGUAGCGGUGAAAUGCGUAGAUAUGUGGAGGAACACCUGUGGCGAAGGCGCCUUGCUGGGCAAUUUCUGACGCUGAGGCGCGAAAGCGUGGGGAGCAAACAGG
rnacentral:rRNA from 1 species